UCUCGAUCUUGCAAACUGGGACUCUGCCCACUCAAUUGGGGCCGCCUCAGGCUUGCUGUGCUGUGUGAUAAAUGAACAAAGGUGGCCGAGCAAGCUGCCCUGCCUUCCUCUGACUGCCUAGCUGCCCUGGCGUCUUCAUGCCAAUCUUGGACUCGAUGGCAUUCUUCUCUUUCCAGCCUGAAGGACAUUCCCAAAAGAGCAAAGGGAGACAGAGGUUGGCACUCUCAUCCUCUCUGGUGUCUGUAUUACAUGCUGAAGAGCUUGGUCUUUGUACUAUUUCAGGACAUUAAUACCUGAAUUAAUACCUCUUGUAAAUACCUGACACUUGCAGUUACCCUUCCCGGAUGAGAGGCAGUGUAAUACACUCACUAAGGUUGGCUCUUUUGUCCUUACUGUGAGAAAGGAGUUCCAGGAAGACACACAGCCCUGUGUAAGGACAGGCUCACCUGGGCCAGGCUGUGAGGGUGCUGUUUCCCUGGCCCUCCACCAACCUCACCGUGGAGCCUUCUCUAUUCCCUUCCCUCCAGUUCUGUCCCUGACUUGUGUGGCAGCUCAGACCAGC
rnacentral:lncRNA from 1 species